CAGCCGCCGCGGUAAUACGUAGGUGGCAAGCGUUGUCCGGAAUUAUUGGGCGUAAAGCGCGCGCAGGCGGUCCUUUAAGUCUGAUGUGAAAGCCCCCGGCUCAACCGGGGAGGGUCAUUGGAAACUGGGGGACUUGAGUGCAGGAGAGGGAAGUGGAAUUCCACGUGUAGCGGUGAAAUGCGUAGAGAUGUGGAGGAACACCAGUGGCGAAGGCGGCUUCCUGGCCUGUAACUGACGCUGAGGCGCGAAAGCGUGGGGAGCAAACAGGAUUAGAUACCCUGGUAGUCCACGCCGUAAACGAUGAGUGCUAAGUGUUAGGGGGUUUCCGCCCCUUAGUGCUGCAGCUAACGCAUUAAGCACUCCGCCUGGGGAGUACGGUCGCAAGGCUGAAACUUAAAGGAAUUGGCGGG
rnacentral:rRNA from 1 species